CACGGAAGAGGUAACCGCGAUCUCUGCACCUGCCACUGAAGAUUAUGAUAAUUUGCCACUCCCAGAUCUCCUAGACCUAGAGGGCCAGAGCGGAGACCUGGGAGAAGUACAGUUAGGAGAACGGUUAGACCCCCAGGAGCGAACCCAGGUCCAAAGACCAAUCCAGGACAAGGGGGCCACGUUUUCCAACCUACCUGGGUACAGUCCAUUAACCACUCACAAAGUUGAAACCCUAGACCAGACCCCCCUUCG